rnacentral:tRNA from 1 species
UCCUUGCUUGUCCAGUGGUCGAGACUCUGUGUUCCUAACGCAAGGGGCCCGGGUUCAACUCCUGGUCGGGGAA